UACGGGGGGGGCAAGCGUUGCUCGGAAUUACUGGGCGUAAAGGGCGCGUAGGCGGCACUGUUAGUCAGGCGUGAAAGUCCUGGGCUCAACCUGGGAACUGCGCUUGAUACUGAUUGGCUUGAAUGCGGGAGAGGAUAGUGGAAUUCCCAGUGUAGAGGUGAAAUUCGUAGAUAUUGGGAAGAACACCGGUGGCGAAGGCGGCUAUCUGGCCCGUAAUUGACGCUGAGGCGCGAAAGCGUGGGGAGCAAACAGG
rnacentral:rRNA from 1 species